rnacentral:misc_RNA from 1 species
CCAAUAGCGUAUAUUAAAGUUGUUGCAGUUAAAAAGCUCGUAGUUGAAUUUCGGGAUUGACGUGAUGGUCAUGCCUUAAGGGGUAUGAACUGUCGCUGUUGAUUUCUCACCUUCUGGAGAAACUUGAUGUCCUUUAUUGGGUGUCUUGCGGAUCCAGGACCUUUACCUUGAAAAAAUUAGAGUGUUUAAAGCAGGCAUUUUUGCUCGAAUACAUUAGCAUGGAAUAAUAGAAUAGGACGGCAUGGUUCUAUUUUGUUGGUUUCUAGGAUCACCGUAAUGAUUAAUAGGGAUAGUUGGGGGCAUUAGUAUUCAAUUGUCAGAGGUGAAAUUCUUGGAUUUAUUGAAGACUAACUACUGCGAAAGCAUUUGCCAAGGAUGUUUUCAUUAAUCAAGAACGAAAGUUAGGGGAUCGAAGACGAUCAGAUACCGUCGUAGUCUUAACCAUAAACUAUGUCGACUAGGGAUCGGAUGAUGUUAAUUUUUUAAUGACUCAUUCGGCGCCUUACG